rnacentral:rRNA from 1 species
UACGUAGGGGGCAAGCGUUGUCCGGAAUUAUUGGGCGUAAAGAGCGCGUAGGCGGUCCGGUAAGUCGGUUGUGAAAGUCGGGGGGCUCAACCCUCGGAUGCCGGUGGAUACUGUCGGGCUAGAGUGCGGAAGAGGCGAGUGGAAUUCCUGGGUGUAGCGGUGAAAUGCGCAGAUAUCAGGAGGAACACCAAUUGCGAAGGCAGCUCGCUGGGACGUGACUGACGCUGAGACGCGAAAGCGUGGGGAGCAAACAGG